rnacentral:lncRNA from 1 species
UUCUUUCUUUUCAACCUGGAUGAUUUUUAUUUCUUUUUAUUGUCUCAUUACUCUGGCUAGAACCUCUACUACCGUGCUGAACAGAAGUGAUGAAAGUGGACAUCUUUGCUUCAUUCGACUCUGAAUAGGAAAGCAUCCAGUCUUUCACCAUUAGGGACAUGGAUGAAUCUGGAGAACAUCAUCCUCAGCAAACUGACACAAGAACAGAAGAUGAAACACCGCAUAUUCUCACUCAUAGGCGGGUGAUGAAAAAUGAGAACACAUGGACACAGAAAGGUACUCUAGUAUGUUAUUGAAAAGGCACCACCACUGGGGAAACCUCAACUCAAAUCUCUACCCAGGUUCUACUUUGAACUGUUUUCUAAGCAUACGUAACAACACCAUUAAAAGAGUCUCCUGA